UCCGAAAUGGUGUAACGGUAACAUUGCCGCCUCUCAAUUAUACCCAAUUUCCCCUGAGUGUGCGGUAGCCCGGGGUUCGAUUCCCUGUAACUGUA